UACGGGGGGGGUAAGCGUUGUUCGGAAUUACUGGGCGUAAAGGGCUCGUAGGCGGCCAACUAAGUCAUACGUGAAAUCCCUCAGCUUAACUGGGGAACUGCGUGUGAUACUGGAUGGCUUGGAUUUGGGAGAGGGAUGCGGAAUUCCAGGUGUAGCGGUGAAAUGCGUAGAUAUUGGGAGGAACACCAGUGGCGAAGGCGGCUCACUGGACUGGUACUGACGCUGAGGCGCGAAAGCGUGGGGAGCGAACAGG
rnacentral:rRNA from 1 species